rnacentral:lncRNA from 1 species
CCAGGCCCACAUCACUUCUUGCUUUUGGCCCGGGCCUCUUCAAGGGUCAUGGAUAGGCCCAGGCCCACAUCACUUCUUGCUUUUGGCCCGGGCUGCUUCAAGGGUUGGGGAUAGACCCAUGCACACAUCACUUCAUUAGGCCCAGGCCUCUUCAACGGUUGGGGAUAGGCCCAGGCCCACAUCAAUUCUUCAUUAGGCCCAGAACUCUUCAAGGGUUAAGGAUAGGCCCAGGCCCACAUUGCUUCUUCAUUAGGCCCGGGCCUCUUCAAGAGUCAGAGAUAGGCCCAGGCCCACAUCACUUCUUGCUUUUGGCCCGGGCCUCUUCAAGGGUCAGGGAUAGGCCCAGGCCCAUAUCGCUUCUUGCAUUAGGCCCGGGCC